GAUGAACGCUGGCGGCGUGCUUAACACAUGCAAGUCGAACGAAGCACCUCUCCCGAAGAUUGCCACAGCUUGCUGUAGAUUGAUUCAUUUGAGGUGACUGAGUGGCGGACGGGUGAGUAACGCGUGGGUAACCUGCCUCAUAGAGGGGGACAACAGUUGGAAACGACUGCUAAUACCGCAUAGUAAGAAGAAUUCGCAUGUUUUCUUCUUGAAAGAUUUAUCGCUAUGAGAUGGACCCGCGUCUGAUUAGCUAGUUGGUAAGGUAACGGCUUACCAAGGCGACGAUCAGUAGCCGGCUUGAGAGAGUGAACGGCCACAUAGGGACUGAGACACGGCCCAAACUCCUACGGGAGGCAGCAGUGGGGAAUAUUGCACAAUGGGGGAAACCCUGAUGCAGCGACGCCGCGUGAGUGAAGAAGUAUUUCGGUAUGUAAAGCUCUAUCAGCAGGGAAGAUAAUGACGGUACCUGACUAAGAAGCCCCGGCUAACUACGUG
rnacentral:rRNA from 1 species